rnacentral:rRNA from 1 species
AGGACGAACGCUGGCGGCGUGCCUAACACAUGCAAGUCGAACGAGGUCCAUCCUGUGGCAACACUGGUGAAGACCUAGUGGCGAACGGGUGAGUAGCACGUGAGGAACCUGCCCCGAAGACCGGGAUAACCCUCCGAAAGGAGAGCUAAUACCGGAUAUCUCCACAGCGUCGCAUGGCGCAGUGAAGAAAUGGAUUCCGCUUCGGGAGGGCCUCGCGGCCUAUCAGCUAGUUGGUGGGGUAACGGCCCACCAAGGCAUCGACGGGUAGCUGGUCUGAGAGGACGAUCAGCCACACUGGGACUGAGACACGGCCCAGACUCCUACGGGAGGCAGCAGUGGGGAAUCUUGCGCAAUGGGCGAAAAGCCUGACGCAGCAACGCCGCGUGGGGGAUGAAGGCCCUCGGUCGUAAACCCCUUUCAGCAGGACGAAAUUGACGUACUGCAGAAGAAGCCCCGGCCAACUACGUGCCAGCAGCCGC